GGAGUUGUAGCUCAGUGAUAGAGCACUUGCCUCGCAUGUGUGAGGCCCUGGGUUCAAUCCUCAGCACCA
rnacentral:tRNA from 1 species